UACGUAGGGGGCAAGCGUUGUCCGGAAUCAUUGGGCGUAAAGAGCGUGUAGGCGGCCAUGUAGGUCCGUUGUGAAAACUCGAGGCUCAACCUCGAGACGCCGAUGGAAACCAUGUGGCUAGAGUCCGGAAGAGGAGAGUGGAAUUCCUGGUGUAGCGGUGAAAUGCGCAGAUAUCAGGAGGAACACCGGUGGCGAAGGCGGGUCUCUGGGCCGAUACUGACGCUGAGGAGCGAAAGCGUGGGAGCGAACAGG
rnacentral:rRNA from 1 species